rnacentral:rRNA from 1 species
GUAGGGAAUAUUGCACAAUGGGCGAAAGCCUGAUGCAGCAACGCCGCGUGCGCGAAGAAGGCCUUCGGGUCGUAAAGCGCUUUUUGAGGAGAUGAGGAAGGACAGUAUCCUCAGAAUAAGGCUCGGCUAACUACGUGCCAGCAGCCGCGGUAAAACGUAGGAGCCAAGCGUUAUCCGAAUUCACUGGGCGUAAAGCGCGUGCAGGCGGCCCAAUAAGUUGGAUGUGAAAGCUCCCGGCUCAACUGGGAGAGGCCGUUCAAUACUGUUGGGCUAGAGGGCGGCAGAGGGAGGUGGAAUUCCCGGUGUAGUGGUGAAAUGCGUAGAUAUCGGGAGGAACACCAGUGGCGAAGGCGGCCUUCUGGGCCGCACCUGACGCUCAGACGCGACAGCUAGGGGAGCGAACGGGAUUAGAAACCCUUGUAGUCC